CCUACGGGAGGCAGCAGUGAGGAAUAUUGGUCAAUGGGCGUAAGCCUGAACCAGCCAAGUCGCGUGAGGGAUGAAGGUUCUAUGGAUCGUAAACCUCUUUUAUAAGGGAAUAAAGUGUGGGACGUGUCCUGUUUUGUAUGUACCUUAUGAAUAAGGAUCGGCUAACUCCGUGCCAGCAGCCGCGGUAAUACGGAGGAUACGAGCCUUAUCCGGAUUUAUUGGGUUUAAAGGGUGCGUUGGCGGCCUUGUAAUUCAGCGGUGAAAGUUUAUGGCUCAACCCUAGUAGUGGCGUUGAAACUGGGGGGCGUGAGUAUGUGUGAGGCAGGCGGAAUGCGUGGUGUAGCGGUGAAAUGCUUAGAUAUCACGCAGAACCCCGAUUGCGAAGGCAGCCUGCCAAGCCAUGACUGACGCUGAUGCACGAAAGCGUGGGGAUCAAACAGGAUUAGAGACCCGAGUAGUC
rnacentral:rRNA from 1 species